GAUAACGGGUCGAUGCCAUUACAUCCCACACAGGAGCUGGUGGACAGAGGUACUUUGGCCUCGGAGAAAUAUAAAAUGUCGCUGUCAGUCGGUCGGGUCGCUGAGAGACGGGACCAGGAGUCAGCUCGAAUAAUGAUGACAAUAUGAUGCUGCAGCUCGGCUCAGGGCCAGGUCAAGCAAAGCACCCCAGACAUCCCUCGUCCCAGCAACACUUUCCAGCUCCUCCUGGGGGACCCCGAGGUGUUCCCAGACCAGAUGAGAUGUGUAAUCCCUCCAGUGUGUUCUGGGUCUGCCCCAGGGCUUCCUACCAGUGGGCCGUGCCUGGAGCACCUCUGACAGGAGGCUUGCUGAUCAGAUGUCCGAACCACCUCAACUGACCCCUUUCAACGAGGACACAUUGAGAAAAUGGCCUGACCUGACUCAUCAUGGAGGAGCUCCCAGGCUGAAACACAACAUGCAACAGAGAUGCCCUGUCUGAACAUGGGACUGUUGAUCCUCAUGAGUAGAAACACGGAGAGCAUUUGUGGAAAUGUGUUUCAUGGAGAAGUGCAGUGAUGCACGCACACCGGCCAAAAGAAACACAGUUGCCACGACUGACUUCCAGACUGUGAGGGCCCGAGGUUGGUAUGUUAACACUCACUGUUAUGCAGCAUUAGUAUUCCUCACACUAAAGAAGUCACCACUGAGGCAUGGCCGAAUUCUGUUCCAGCUAGUCUGUGUUGGAUUCAGUCAGACACCAUGCGAAAACCAGGUCUCAUUUCUGCUGAAUGACUGGAUGAGUGCUUCAGUCAGCUUCAUCCAACUGUACAGGAAUGAGUACAACAAUGAUGGUACACUUGGAAAUAUGAGAUGCUGCUCUGACAGCAGUCCUGUUGGUUUUGUAUUGAUUUUAUUCUGUUUUCUAAAUUCUGCAGAUACCAGUGGCUGCAUCUGAAGCAGGAACGUGAGGGAAAGUCGACUCCUUUGUCUGUUUUAACUUCACUCUACCAACAUCUCAACAUUGGAAAUCCGUUUUGUGCUUAAACUAGCACCACCAGGAUAACUGUCAAGACUUGAAAGAUGUAUCUCACUCUUCUGUUGAAAUAAACUUCUAAUUGUGUUCAAAA